GUUUUGUGCUCUCAUUUAUUAUCAUUUUUUUCUGUACAAAUCUAUUAUUUCUAGAUUUUUGUAUAACAUGAUAGACAUAAAAUUGGUUUAUCUCCUCCAAGGCAGUUUGUCUUUUUCUAUUCCUCCCCCUUCAACCUGCGUCACAAAAACCAAGAACAGAUGUCGGAAAAGUUUUUUUUUCUUCAGUAUUGUUUAAAAGUUUCAAUACAAAAUAAGUUAUAAAUAAAAGGCUUGUAUGUACAAGGCUCCUCAGAGGGAAUGAGUUGUCUUCAACCCCAUAGAAUGAUGUGAGUCCAAGCUGCCUCUAGAGGAUCACAGCCCAAGUAUCACAGGCCUAGGUUUAAACAGGAAAAUAAUUAGCUUAAAUUGUAUUCUAGUCAUGAAAGAUAUCUGAUAUAGUUAAAAGUUGUAAUCAGUGAGAAUUCUACACAUUAGGUGAGGUCUCCUGAGUCCAGUUUCAAUUAGUUCAGUAGUGUAGUUUGUCAUGAUGACCGCCCCUCUUUGGCAUUGCUGGACCUCUAUCCUGCAGCCUUCAAACAACUGCCCUGGGAACCAUCAGCAUCGAUAGUCUUCAAGCUAAGAUCAAAUCCUGUAGAUGAACUAAUCAAACAUCCUCACCAUCAGGAAACCACUGACCAGAAAGAUUGUAUUCAAACUCUUGAUAGCUUGGAGCUUUUAGAGCCCAGCAGGAAGAUGAGACUCCAAAUCUACACAAGAUUGAAGCAGGUAUGUAUCAUAGGGGAGGUGCAAACCAUGCAUGAUCAGUACGGGCAGAAAACAUGUAAAGACAUGAUCAGUAAGCACCUGAGUGUAAAACUGCCUCCCGAUUCCCGGGUGGCUCAGCCUCUCCACUAUGCUAAGGAAUCCAGUCUGUCCUUAACCCAUUUAUGCCACAGGUUGCGAAUUUUUUUGUGUGAAACAUCAGACCUUGGCGAUGACCUUGAGCAAUAGGGGAUCAAUAACUCCCACAGGCUUAGCGUUCCAAUAAUUAAACAGUAGGCAUAAGUGGGUUACUCUUGUUUCUUACCACUUCCACAGGUAAUAUAUUUGGCUUUCUCUAAAAGACACUAUAACUCUGCUAAUAGGCGGUUUAGCAUAUUCCAUCCCAUGACCACCACUUGAGCACCGUCACAUCCGAAACAUUCCUAGUCCUGUAAUAGAGUGCAAUCUUCUGUAACCCACCCCUACCUUCCAACACAUCCUCAGCCAUCUGUCCUGAGCUUCCCUACAUCCUGACCUCACUGGAUUCUAACACAAUGGUCCUUGAUUCCCCCUUAAGUGAAAACCAAAGGUCUAGUGGAACUAGAGCAUUCCAAAUGUCUACCUUUCCAAAUGUUGAACUCAAGACCUACAGAAUACAAUUUUGUCUUUCCCCUUCCUCUUUUUAUUUUAUUUUUAUUUUUUUGAGGCACAAUCUGGCUGUCACCCAGCCUGGAGCGCAAUGGCGCCCUCUCAGCUCACUGCAACCUCUGCCUCCUGAGCUCAAGCCAUCCUCCCGCUUCAGCCUUCCGAGUAGCUGGGAGUACAGGUGCGAGCCACCACACCCAGCUAAUUUCUGUACUUUUAGUAGAGACAAGGUUUCACCAUGUUGCCCAGGCAUGUGGCGCACGUCUAUAAUCCCAGCUACUCGGGAGGCUGAGGCAGAAGAAUCACUUGAACCCGGGAGGCGGAGGUUGCAGUGAUCCGAGAUUGCGCCACUGCACUCCAGCCUGAGUGACAGAGCGAGACUCUGUGUCAAAAAAAAAAAAAGAGAACUGAUUUCUGAUGCCAGGACGACCCUGCUGAUUCCACAUACUUGGCAUCUGUGUUGUUCAGAAUCUGUGUGCUCAUUCAUUCAGCAAACAUACAACAGUACCUAGUAUCUGCUAGUCACAGGGGCACAAAGAUGAAAAAGACUGUCAUUGUUGAGCUCACAGUCUAGACAUUAGGGAAGGGGUCAAAAAACUAC
rnacentral:antisense_RNA from 1 species